GAUUAAUUGGAUUACAUCACUUUGGAUUCCUUCAAACACUGCAGCAAAGAUUGCCUAGCAGAUAACAAAUUUUUUUGCAGGAUGGAUGUUAUGGAUUAGUUGAGGUAACUCAUGUUUAAUGACACCAAACAUAUAUAUUGAACAAACGCUCUAGUAUCUAGCUGCUUGGCUUGUUUUCGUGCUCCUGUCAACAAUGGCAUCACCCUCUGUAUUAACAGCAGCACUAAAAUCUCUCAUCCCCAUCAAACAACCCAUCAUUUGAAGCUGCUUUGACAUUGAAUUCCACAAAGACCACAGAACUUCACAAUCAAUUUUAUUAUAGUAUCUGAACCUGUGAUGGUCACUUCUCCCUUGUUCAAAGGUACAACGUGCU
rnacentral:misc_RNA from 1 species